UUGAAUGGCGAAGAUGUCCAAGUCCAUGCUAACAGAAAGGAGCAGAUCUCAGGAACCUGAAGAAACCGACACACAAUAGAAUCAAUAAAAGGUCAGAAAUGGAGGUAGAUGGCAUCUACUGGUGAUAUUUAAAAUUACUACCAAAGUAAAUGAAAUUCAAAGAAGUUUCUAUUUUAUGACAACUGAAAGUAAGUGUGGAAACAAGAAAUCCUCCAAAAAAAUCAGAGAUAAUUAUGACAUAAGGAGACUUUGGUCAGAAUGAAAGUAAG
rnacentral:lncRNA from 1 species